AGUGAACGCUGGCGGUAGGCCUAACACAUGCAAGUCGAACGGCAGCACAGUAAGAGCUUGCUCUUACGGGUGGCGAGUGGCGGACGGGUGAGGAAUACAUCGGAAUCUACUUUUUCGUGGGGGAUAACGUAGGGAAACUUACGCUAAUACCGCAUACGACCUACGGGUGAAAGCAGGGGAUCUUCGGACCUUGCGCGAUUGAAUGAGCCGAUGUCGGAUUAGCUAGUUGGCGGGGUAAAGGCCCACCAAGGCGACGAUCCGUAGCUGGUCUGAGAGGAUGAACAGCCACACUGGAACUGAGACACGGUCCAGACUCCUACGGGAGGCAGCAGUGGGGAAUAUUGGACAAAGGGCGCAAGCCUGAUCCAGCCAUACCGCGUGGGUGAAGAAGGCCUUCGGGUUGUAAAGCCCUUUUGUUGGGAAAGAAAAGCGGCAGGUUAAUACCCCGCUGUUCUGACGGUACCCAAAGAAUAAGCACCGGCUAACUUCGUG
rnacentral:rRNA from 1 species